UACGGAGGAUGCGAGCGUUAACCGGAUUUAUUGGGUUUAAAGGGUGCGUAGGCGGACGCUUAAGUCAGCGGUAAAAUUGCGGGGCUCAACCUCGUCGAGCCGUUGAAACUGGGUGUCUUGAGUGGGCGAGAAGUACGCGGAAUGCGUGGUGUAGCGGUGAAAUGCAUAGAUAUCACGCAGAACUCCGAUUGCGAAGGCAGCGUACCGGCGCCCAACUGACGCUGAAGCACGAAGGCGUGGGUAUCGAACAGG
rnacentral:rRNA from 1 species